UGCAGUCGAACGGUGAAGCAGAGCUUGCUCUGUGGAUCAGUGGCGAACGGGUGAGUAACACGUGAGCAAUCUGCCCCUGACUCUGGGAUAAGCGCUGGAAACGGCGUCUAAUACCGGAUACGAGCUGCGACCGCAUGGUCAGUAGCUGGAAAGAAUUUCGGUCAGGGAUGAGCUCGCGGCCUAUCAGCUUGUUGGUGAGGUAAUGGCUCACCAAGGCGUCGACGGGUAGCCGGCCUGAGAGGGUGACCGGCCACACUGGGACUGAGACACGGCCCAGACUCCUACGGGAGGCAGCAGUGGGGAAUAUUGCACAAUGGGCGCAAGCCUGAUGCAGCAACGCCGCGUGAGGGAUGACGGCCUUCGGGUUGUAAACCUCUUUUAGCAGGGAAGAAGCGAAAGUGACGGUACCUGCAGAAAAAGCGCCGGCUAACUACGUGCCAGCAGCCGCGGUAAUACGUAGGGCGCAAGCGUUAUCCGGAAUUAUUGGGCGUAAAGAGCUCGUAGGCGGUCUGUCGCGUCUGCUGUGAAAACCCGAGGCUCAACCUCGGGCCUGCAGUGGGUACGGGCAGACUAGAGUGCGGUAGGGGAGAUUGGAAUUCCUGGUGUAGCGGUGGAAUGCGCAGAUAUCAGGAGGAACACCGAUGGCGAAGGCAGAUCUCUGGGCCGUAACUGACGCUGAGGAGCGAAAGGGUGGGGAGCAAACAGGCUUAGAUACCCUGGUAGUCCACCCCGUAAACGUUGGGAACUAGUUGUGGGGUCCAUUCCACGGAUUCCGUGACGCAGCUAACGCAUUAAGUUCCCCGCCUGGGGAGUACGGCCGCAAGGCUAAAACUCAAAGGAAUUGACGGGGACCCGCACAAGCGGCGGAGCAUGCGGAUUAAUUCGAUGCAACGCGAAGAACCUUACCAAGGCUUGACAUAUAGAGGAAACGUCUGGAAACAGUCGCCCCGCAAGGUCUCUAUACAGGUGGUGCAUGGUUGUCGUCAGCUCGUGUCGUGAGAUGUUGGGUUAAGUCCCGCAACGAGCGCAACCCUCGUUCUAUGUUGCCAGCACGUAAUGGUGGGAACUCAUGGGAUACUGCCGGGGUCAACUCGGAGGAAGGUGGGGAUGACGUCAAAUCAUCAUGCCCCUUAUGUCUUGGGCUUCACGCAUGCUACAAUGGCCGGUACAAAGGGCUGCAAUACCGUGAGGUGGAGCGAAUCCCAAAAAGCCGGUCCCAGUUCGGAUUGAGGUCUGCAACUCGACCUCAUGAAGUCGGAGUCGCUAGUAAUCGCAGAUCAGCAACGCUGCGGUGAAUACGUUCCCGGGUCUUGUACACACCGCCCGUCAAGUCAUGAAAGUCGGUAACACCUGAAGCCGGUGGCCCAACCCU
rnacentral:rRNA from 1 species